GUCUAUGGCCAUGCCACCCUGAACAAGCCAGAUCCCAUUUGAUCUCGGAAGCUAAGCAGGGUCGUACCUGGUUAGUACCAGGUGCUGUAGGCA
rnacentral:rRNA from 1 species